rnacentral:rRNA from 1 species
AGUGAACGCUGGCGGUAGGCCUAACACAUGCAAGUCGAACGGCAGCACAGUAAGAGCUUGCUCUUACGGGUGGCGAGUGGCGGACGGGUGAGGAAUACAUCGGAAUCUACUUUUUCGUGGGGGAUAACGUAGCGAAACUUACGCUAAUACCGCAUACGACCUACGGGUGAAAGCAGGGGAUCUUCGGACCUUGCGCGAUUGAAUGAGCCGAUGUCGGAUUAGCUAGUUGGCGGGGUAAAGGCCCACCAAGGCGACGAUCCGUAGCUGGUCUGAGAGGAUGAUCAGCCACACUGGAACUGAGACACGGUCCAGACUCCUACGGGAGGCAGCAGUGGGGAAUAUUGGACAAUGGGCGCAAGCCUGAUCCAGCCAUACCGCGUGGGUGAAGAAGGCCUUCGGGUUGUAAAGCCCUUUUGUUGGGAAAGAAAAGCAGCAGGUUAAUACCCCGCUGUUCUGACGGUACCCAAAGAAUAAGCACCGGCUAACUUCGUG